ACUCCUACGGGAGGCAGCAUUGGGGAAUAUUGCACAAUGGGGGAAACCCUGAUGCAGCCAUGCCGCGUGUGUGAAGAAGGCCUUCGGUUGUAAAGCACUUUCAGUAGGGAGGAAGGUAGUGUAGUUAACACCUGCACUAUUUGACGUUACCUACAGAAGAAGCACCGGCUAACUCCGUGCCAGCAGCCGCGGUAAUACGGAGGGGUGCGAGCGUUAAUCGGAAUUACUGGGCGUAAAGCGCAUGCAGGCGGCCUGUUAAGUCAGAUGUGAAAGCCCGGGGGCGUUAACCUCGGAAUUAGCAUUUGAAACUAGGCAGGCUAGAGUCUGUUAGAGGGGGUAGGAAGUUUCAGGUGUAGCGGUGAAAUGCGUAGA
rnacentral:rRNA from 1 species